rnacentral:rRNA from 1 species
UGAACGCUGGCGGCGUGCCUAAUACAUGCAAAUCGAGCGAACAGAUGCGGAGCUUGCUCCUCUGACGUUAGCGGCGGACGGGUGAGUAACACGUGGAUAACCUACCUAUAAGACUGGGAUAACUUCGGGAAACCGGAGCUAAUACCGGAUAAUAUAUUGAACCGCAUGGUUCAAUAGUGAAAGACGGUUUUGCUGUCACUUAUAGAUGGAUCCGCGCCGCAUUAGCUAGUUGGUAAGGUAACGGCUUACCAAGGCAACGAUGCGUAGCCGACCUGAGAGGGUGAUCGGCCACACUGGAACUGAGACACGGUCCAGACUCCUACGGGAGGCAGCAGUAGGGAAUCUUCCGCAAUGGGCGAAAGCUUGACGGAGCAACGCCGCGUGAGUGAUGAAGGUCUUCGGAUCGUAAAACUCUGUUAUUAGGGAAGAACAAAUGUGUAAGUAACUAUGCACGUCUUGACGGUACCUAAUCAGAAAGCCACGGCUAACUACGUG